rnacentral:lncRNA from 1 species
UUUUUCCUCCUAUAAGACUUUGUUCAGGCUUGUCCCUUGCUACAAAAGGGAUUGGGCCACUUGCUGCACCUUUGCUACUACUUGUUACUUGUUACUUUUUGCUUGCCACAUUUCAUCUCACUACACAAUCACUUGUUACCGCUACUUUCAGUGCUUGUAGUUAUUACCUUGCUGAAAUCCGUUUAUCAGAGCCUUCUGCUCCUCGUUGGGUUCGACAGUCUUACUUAUCGAAAGGAUUACGAUUGAUCCCCUAUACUUGUGGGUCAUCACCGAACAGUAGCCGUUGGGGAGUAAAAAGGAGAACCGCCCGUACAUAAACGACAAUUCCUCUUAGCGAUAGCGAAGAGAGAGCCCCCAAUGCGUGGCCCCAUACAUAAGGAAGGGAUCCUGCAAAGGAAGCACUGCUCAUUCACAUCUGCCUCUCCACCUUUCACUCCCCAGCCCUCCUCCAGCAAAGAAACCGCCUCCGCCGUCGCCGUUCCUUCUACGGGCAUUGCCGAAUCUCCCACUAUUCAAGGGAGAUGGGGAAGAAGACGACCAACGUGAAGGGAAGGAAGACAGCUGAGGCGAAGGAGCGGAUUGAGAAGAAGAGGAGAACAGAGGAAGCGGAGAAGCGAUGGUGGGAAGAUGUUGUUUUAUUCCCGCCGAAGCUGGAUGGCAAUACCCUGAUUUCAAGGUACAUAUAUAUGUGGGGGAGAGAUACCAAGCGGCACGGGGAGCCUGAAGUUCUGCGAGACGCGCCCAAGGAGAUGACGCCAUCACAUUCGUACCGCUUCUUCUGCGCGUACUUCUACUGUGACCUCUCUCCCCCUUCUCUGAUUUUUCUUCUGUGCCAUGAUGGUGACGUAUGGAUUUCACCUCCUGGAUUUCAUGCCCCAUGCAAUGGCGUGCAUGGCGAUCUUUGCCCACCUGUGCGAGCACUUUGUCAGGGUCGCACCUAAUGUAGAUUUGUUCACGCACUUCUUCACCCCCAGAUAGAGGACAAGAAUGACCGCUCGAGUAACGUUAGCUGGAUUCCCCGGGCCAAGGAGGAUUGGGGAUAUCUCCGUGGCCAAUAUCAUGGGAAGUGGGAAGAGUGGAGGGACGAUUGGUGUUGGAUCAAGGACGCCAAUUGCCCGAGUUCUGUUCCGCAUGAACUGCUUGUGUCUCGUGCAAUAAUGAUUCGAGCAUCUUGGUCCUUUCCGAUGGAAAGCUUCGCCCAACGCUGAACAGGGUUACCCACAUCAAAGCUGCCGCACUCACCAUUCAACACAUAGGGGCCGACUUCCUUCGGCGCUGCAUUGCACCACUUGAGAAGAGGGACAUGUUCUCCUGGGAGUUUAACGGCCCCGCCGAUUGGAUGCGGCUGUACCUAGGCACCAUCAGCAACCUGAAGUCGAUUAUCGUGGAUGGUUGUGCUAUCAGCUAUUUGGUGACACGGGGCCGUUCCAUCUACCAGCAGGGGUCGUCCCCUUCCAUAUUAAUUCAAUCAAGAACCAAAUUCUGCAGUGGAUGCCAGAUUGCAAUGCUUCCGGGCUUAAGCCGGAUUGGGCUUUGCUCUCCCUGGAAGACAACAUGGUGUGGCUCUCUAACUUGGAGGAAAGAGCCUUCAAGCAAGACAAGAACCUGACCACGCCCACUAGAUAUGCAGAGAUGGCUUACAUUUCCGCCCGAGUCGCGAAGGAUUGACGGGACAAGGCCGCCAAGGGAACGUCCUCCAGGAACGAAGGAGAGGGAAAAUCUGGAGAGAGUGACUCUUCCGGAGAGGAACACGAGAAUCUUCCCCAACAGCUGCUGUCGGGUUGGAGUCUUGCGGGGGUGGAGCUCUCCAGGUCGACAUCGAGGUGGAGAAGGCAAGAAGGCCGGUAGUGGAGGAAGAGGGGCUCGUGAUAGCCCCCAAGCUCCGGAACCAGGGUGGCACCCUCGCCAGCGCGGCCGCCGGGAAGCGGCAGCUCCGGCGCCUCCGCAGGCCCUUCCGAAGACAAAGAAGACAACCUCCAAGGCAAGGGGACGCAAGGGAGCAUGUCGUCAAUCCCCUCGUCUUUCCUAAGCCAAGGUCUCUCCUAUCAGGAGACAGAGGGUCAUGGCGGUGGACCCCAACCCCCCAUCAAGCACAACUUCUACUCCUGGCUCGCCUCUGCCCGAAGCUCCAACUCUGUUGCGGAACCCCGCACCAACAACUCUGAAGAGGGGCAGAUAAACUCUGCCGCCCGCAUCAUAUGAGGUAGGAUCCAUGCUCAUGGCUUCAGAGUAAGUUCUUCAUAUACCAGCAUCAACAAAGCCCUUCAUUCUCGAUGCUUUGACAUAUUUGGUUGGAUUAUUCAUUUGACAUGGAUGAGGACGAGGAGCUCCUUGCGCAUAGGGGCAACUGGGCCAAAUCUUCGGCAGGGUAGGAUGCCGUGGCAGAUACGGUCCUCGUGGGAGGUGCAAGGGAGAAUCCCACGUCUAUCCCCCAGGCCAUCCUCCACUAUAAGAUCCAGGCGCAAUCCCCGUCUCGUGGCAGGGACGAAGAGAGGCAUCCUCCUACCCCCGAUAAGGAGAAAUGAGAUGUUCAUUAGGGAGAGGCCCGCCAGGAGGGGCCUUCCCUUCAAGACCUCUCUGCAACCGUUGCCAUGGGGAGAGAUUCUGUGGCAAGGGCCCCCGUCGAAGGGCCUGUGUGUGUAGAAUCUGCCAUCGAAGAAGCAACAAUGAUCCGCCCCUGACAGUUCAUCUUGCGGGGAAAACAAAUAUUCCUCUUAGGCAGACCCCAUCGAGUAUCCUACUUGCCUAUGACUUGAUUUCUUCUGUCCCGUUGCUUUCCUUUGAUAAAUUUCUUGAUUGUUAUCUUGUUGUUCAUUGCCUUUGAUUACAACGUUGCCAUCUGAAGAAUCAGAGCUGUUGGAAGAGGUGGCUGGCAUCGGGAAGGCUGCCGCUGCGGAGGUGGAGAAUAUUGCUGCCGCAGAGGGCGACGGUCGGUUGACGGGAAACUUUAGGAGUCCCUUGAAAUAACAUCAUCAAACCCUGGCAGCUCGACUGUCCUGUCCUUAGUUAUUAAGGGGAAGACCCCCCUUCAGGCUCUGGGACCCAUGCCUCCGCGGUAUCCUCUGCCAUCAUCUCUGCCAUCAUCUUCAGACUACCUAGCGAUGGUUACCGCUUCUUUGUGCCCUCCAACUUCGGACGUGUCCUUCUCAGCUGGCACAAACAUCGUUGAAGGGAUCGAGCAGGCGCUGGCACCACUGUGUCAGAAAGUUGGACGGUUUUAUGAUGUUUCAAGGAUUUGGCUUUCUUGGAAUCCAUGGCUGCCGGAAUCAAGGACAUGCACAACAGGUACAAUCUCAAGGUGCAGGCAGCCAAAGAGCAAUGUGAGCAGGAGGACCUUGUGGGCAAGUAGUUCGGGUGCAAGGGAAACGAACUGCGAGAGCCGUACAACCAGGAGGUCCAUUCCUUCAGGAGGCAGCAUGAGAUGCUAUCCAUGGCCAAGGAAGACGUUGUAGCCUCGGAGACCAGCCUGGUGGAGCACAAAGCACGUCUGUACGCCAGGGAGGCGGAAAUCAUCUGCCGAGAAGAGGCCCUCAAACUUUCCCUUCAUAAUAAGGAAGUGGAGAUGGAGGUUCGCCUCUCACAAUGCACCAAGGAGCUAGAGGAUGGCCACAAAGCUACUCUUGCCACGCUCUCCUCAACUUCCGCUGCCCAUUAGAAAGAGGUGUCCAACGAGCUUGCUUCCACGGCUACCGUGAUGCCCUCUUCAUGGUCUUGAGAAACCUCGCCUUCUUCCACCCGGAGAUUGACCUCUCCGAUGGUUUCAAGAAGCUGCCGCCGGGAACUGAUGUCUCUGGUGCCGCGGACAACGCAAACCCUUUUGCCCACAGGGUCUUUGCGGUCUCAAGGGUCCAAGGAGGCCGCCAGAAUUAGUUUCGACCCACUCCUGUCGUCGUGUCGUCCUGUACUCAAGACAUGAUAUGUAUCUCGUAUCAGUCCAUGCACUAUCUUUGCUUUGUUGAACUAAUGUAUUUAUGUAAUUGCAUGCCAUCCCUCUUUGCUUUCCCUCUGGUAUUCAUAUGGCUAAUUCCUUUGCAUGCUCUGGUUGCCCACCAACAACGUGUUGCCGAAAUUUCCUUGAGGAAUGGGUCCUUAGUAUCUUGCAGGCGAGGACACGUUGCCGACGAGUUUUUCCUCAUGGGUCUUUGAUGCUGCUGUGGGUUUUGUUGAGAAGGCUCGAAACAAAAUAGGGAGCGAUCAGGAAGACAUUAGGUUCCAUUACGCAUCAGGUUCACCAUACAAACAAACCUUUGUCGCAAAGGAGACUAUACGAAAUGUAAGCUUUUUAGCGAAAAACCAACGGUCGCAUCGACUUAUCUUUCAUUCGGGCUUCAUUUUUAUCUUGGCGCUCAUCCGCCCACAUCCGCCGUUCCCUCCUCUCUCCAUCGGUGCUUCUUCCCUUCGCGCUCCCCAGUAUUUGCAUGGCGUAAACCAUGGCUAUUCUGAGAGGAAGAGAAGGACAAAAAAAGAGUAAAUGGAGGUACUUGGGAGAAAUGUUAGUUAUAAGUGUGGUGUGCGGCAAGAGCUUGCCGUGCCAAUGCAAGCGUUCACAACUUAGCCGGAAGGGAAGGAAUAGCAAAUAUGCUCGGCCGAACCUUCCUUCUUCCCCUUCUUGCUCGACGGUCCUGUAACUAUCACAAGGCUGGAAACGAUGGGUAAUGGGACCUCGCUAUGGCCCGUUCGCCGGGGUCGCUGACCAAUGGAUCGUCUCGAGCGUUUGGCCUGGGAUUUACCAACGUGGGGAAAAUGCAAGACCUAACGGCAUGCAAGCUCGUCGACAACGGCGGCUCCGCCUUCGCGCAAACCCGACCACAGGUGGGGAAGGGGAAGAUAUGAAGGAUAUAGCCGUGUACCUUUUCUUCUUCCCCACCCAUUCAAUCGCAACCACACCUCCUCAUGGUUUAGGUGGGUUUGCUCAAUGAUUGUGAUAGGGAUGGCACCAUGGUCUACUGAUACAUCUCCAACGUCUCGGUAAUUUAUGAAGUAUUCAUGCCAUAUUUGCCUAUGUUUAAAAUAACUUUAUAUUGUAUGGAUGCACAUUAUAUGAUUUAUUUAGAACUAACCCGGAUUGACGCUGUUUUCAGCAGAAUUACCAUGGUGUUGUUUUUUGUGCAGAAAAUGAAAGUUCUCGGAAUCGGCUAAAACUAUUUUAUGAUUUUUUCUGGAACAUAUGAGCAAUGUUGGAGCGAAGAAUCACCAGAGGAGGGCUACCACGGAGGCACAAGACAACAGGGCGCGGCCUGGGCCUUAGCCACGCCCUGAUGGCUUGUGGGGCCCACAUGGCUCCGUUGCGCGUGAUUCCAACGCUAGAAUAAUCAUAUAAAUCCCAGAAACCCUAGAAGUAAAGAGAGAACUUCCGCUCCACCGCUACAACUCCCUGUAUCACUGAAAAACUUAUCUGGAGCGAUUCCAGUACCCUGCCGGAAAGGGAAAAGCAUCACCGGUGGCCAUCUUCAUCAUCCUGGCCGAGGCCAGGACGAGGAGGGAGUAGUUCACCCUCGAGGCUGAGGGUAUAUACGAGUAGCUAUGUGUUCAAUCUCUCUCUCUCUCUCUCUCUCUCUCUCUCUCGUGUUCUUGAGAUGGCACAAUCUCAAGAACAUGGGCUUUGUUAAUAUAGUUGGAUCAUAUGAUAUAUUUCCCUUACCAUCUAGUUGUGAUGAAUUGAGUCUUUUCCUUUAAGAUCUCGUCAUGUUGGAUUGAACAUAUUGGUAUGACACCACUUGAUGUAAGUCUUGCAUGGCAUACCCGUAGUGACAUUGGAGUAUUCUAUUGGUUCACUUGAUAUAUGUUGAGGCAUCAACUUACGGGUUCAAGUUACCUUGGGGAUCUAUGCAUAGGGGCUGAUUGCAAAUUUUCCUACCAUGUUCUCUGAUAGAAAUCUUGGGGUGCUCCUUGCACAUUCUUUGUGUUGCAUUGAAUAUGACAGCUCUGAAAUUGUUUGAUGCAUGUCGCAUAAUUUACCCAUGGAUACUUGAGGUGACAUUGGAGUAUCUAGGAGACAUUAGGGUCGAUUGAUAUGUAUCAUUGGUGUUAUUUUAGUACAAACUCUUAGAUAGAUCAAACGUAAAGGAUAGCUUGAUGUUAUCUUAGUACGAACUCUUGAAUAGAUUGAACGAAAAUUAUAGCUCGAUGUUAUCUUAGUACGAACUCUUGAAUAGAUUGAUCGGAAAUAAUAAGUUUGAGGUGGUUCUACUACGUGCACCAAUUUCAUCUUAUUGUUCUCCACUAGAUAGGAACUUUGGAGUGAUUCUUGUUGCACGUUGAGGGAUCCAAUUAUGUUAGCAUUGUUGAGAGAUUGCACUAGUGGAAGUAUGUACCGUAGGCCUUAUUUACAAGCAUUAAUACAACAUUUUCCUAGCUAUUUUUAUAUUUUCAGAUUACAAAAACCUAUAUCUACCAUCCGUAUUGCACUUGUAUCACCAUCUCAGCGUCUAACUAGUGCACAUAUACAAUUUACCAUUGUAUUGGGUGUGUUGGGGACACAAGAGAUAUCUUGUAUUUGAUUGUAGGGUUUCUUGAGAGAGACCAUCUUCAUCCUACACCUCCCACGGAUUGAUAAACCUUAGGUCAUCCACUUGAGGGAAAAAUGCUACUGUCCUACAGAACUCUGCGCUUGAAGGCCCAACACGAGUCUAUAAGAAUAAACUUGUGUAGUAGACAUCAAGAUAUUUUCUGGCGCUGUUGCCAUGGAGGUGAGUGCUUGAAGGUAUAUCUUUAGACAUUGCAAUUAAAUAUUUUAAUUUCUUGCUUUUCACUAGUUUUUUUUAAGAAAAAUAGAGUCUACGUUGCCUAAAUGGUGUCCUCGUUUUAAAGUCUUCCAUGAAAAUGUUAGUUUGGAUUUUUUUUUCUCAUGUGAGUUCCUUGAAAGAUGAGCAUGAUUGCACUGUUGUUAGUACAUGUUCUCUUAAUAUCCAUGAUGCUAAUGAUGAUUGCACUAGUCAUGAUAAAAAGGUUUCCUAUAAGCAUGACAAUUUUUGUGGAGUGAAUAAAAUUUGCAAAGACAUGCCAUAUAGGGACGAUAGAUUUUACAAGAAGCAUAAACAUGAUCAAACUAAUUGGUGGCUUAAAGUGAUAGAUGAAAGUGCCUAAUGAACCAGAAGUAUAGGGGAUCUAUCAUAGUCCUUAAGAUAAGUAAGAGUGUCGAACCCAACGAGGAGCAGAAGGAUCUGACAAGUGGUUUUCAGCAAGGUAAUAUGUGCAAGCACUGAAAUUAUGGGUAACAAGUGAUUGUAUGGUGAGGUGAUUCUUAGCAAGCAACAAGUAACAAAAGUAGCAACGGUGCAGCAAAGUGGACCAAUCCCUUUUGUAGCAAGGGACAAGCCUGCACAAAGUCUUAUAGGAGGAAAAACACUGCCGAGAACACACGGGAAUUUCUGUCAUGCUAGUUUUCAUCAUGUUCAUAUGAUUCGCGUUCGUUACUUUGAUAGUUUGAUAUGUGGGUGGACCGACGCUUGGAUACUUCCCUUACUUGGACAAGCAUCCCACUUAUGAUUAACCCCUCUCGCAAGCAUCUGCAACUAUGAAAG